CCUACGGGAGGCAGCAGUAGGGAAUAUUGCUCAAUGGGGGAAACACUGAAGCAGCAACGCCGCGUGGAGGAUGAAGGUUUUCGGAUUGUAAACUCCUUUUGUUAGAGAAGAUAAUGACGGUAUCUAACGAAUAAGCACCGGCUAACUCCGUGCCAGCAGCCGCGGUAAUACGGAGGGUGCAAGCGUUACUCGGAAUCACUGGGCGUAGAGAGCGCGUAGGCGGGAUAGCAAGUCAGAUGUGAAAGCCUAUGGCUUAACCAUAGAACUGCAUAUGAAACUGUUAUUCUAGAGUAUUGGAGAGGUAGGGGGAAUUCUUGGUGUAGGAGUAAAAUGCGUAGAGAUCAAGAGGAAUACUCAUUGCGAAGGCGACCUGCUAGAACAUAACUGACGCUGAUGCGCGAAGGCGUGGAGAGCGAACAGGAUUAGAUACCCCAGUAGUC
rnacentral:rRNA from 1 species